GGAAAGUGACAUUUAGUGCCGAUGUUAAGAAAACUGAUGCAAAUCCAACACAUAUUAGAAAAAGGAAACAUAAUGAUGAUAAAGAAGAUAAUGAACCAAUUGUGUUGAUGAUUAAGAAAUCACAAAUUAGAAAAAGGAAAAGUAACGUUAACAAUAAAGAUGUGGAGAAUGUAAAAAACACAACAACAGUUGAACAACAAAGCAAAGGUUGAACAAACGGAUAAAGAGGGUGGCAAAGAAGAAAGCAAAUGCUAAAUCAAAAAAAGAGAACAUUUUAAUGGCAUUGCAGU
rnacentral:lncRNA from 1 species